UACGUAGGGGGCAAGCGUUGUCCGGAUUUAUUGGGCGUAAAGAGCGUGUAGGCGGCCAGGUAGGUCUGCUGUGAAAACUCGAGGCUCAACCUCGAGAUGUCGGCGGAAACCAUCUGGCUAGAGUCCGGAAGAGGAGAAUGGAAUUCCCGGUGUAGCGGUGAAAUGCGCAGAUAUCUGGAGGAAUACCGGUGGCGAAGGCGAGGCGCUGGACCCUUUCUGACGCUGAGGCGCGAAAGCCAGGGGAGCAAACGGG
rnacentral:rRNA from 1 species